CAGCCCGGAGCCUUCGCAAGAGGGUGGGCUUAAAACGGCUUCCGUGCGCAAGUCCCGAUUAAAACAAAAAAAAAAUUAAAUAGCCAAAUGACUCGUCAUCUAAUUAGUGACGCGCAUGAAUGGAUUAACAAGAUUCCCGCUGUCCCUAUCUACUAUUUAACGAAACCACAGCCAAGGGAACGGGCUUGGAAAAAUCAGCGGGGAAAGAAGACCCUCUUGAGCUUGACUCUAGUCUUCACUCUGUGAAGAGACAUGAGAGGUGUAGCAUAAGUGGGAGGCCGUUAACCCUCGUGGUUGUGUCACGCCGACAGUGAAAAACCACUACUUUCAUCGUUUCUUUACAUACUCGGUGAAGCGGAAAGCGGACCAUGAGUGUCCACGCUUCUAGCACUAAGUGCAAGGCCCUUCGCUGGCCCGCACGAUCUGUUCCGAGGACAGUGUAAGGCGGGGAGUUUGAUUGGGGCGGUAGCCGACAAGUACGCUAAGGUCAACAAGUACGUGAAAUUCCGUGAAGUUGGAAGUGGGCCAAAGAUGUCCAGGUGGACGUUCUUAAAGCGUGAGGAUGGUAGGGGAAACUUUCCGAGUGGUGUUUGCGU
rnacentral:ncRNA from 1 species